CGAGAGGUCCAGAAGACCUGCUAACUCUUCAAUCUGGCGAA
rnacentral:tRNA from 1 species